UACGCCAGCAAACGCUUCAGCUUCUCACCUCUGGUCUAUGAGGCAAGAACCCUCCUGGCAGCCCUGGAUUAUAACCACCAUAAAGACCGACCACCACUGCUCAACAAAAAUGGCCAAAAGAUCUUUCGCAGACUGUUCCAGAAGAAAACUGGUAGAUGGACAGUAUAUGCCUUGAAGGUGGCAAAAGACUAUAGUUACAUUCCUGAUCUGCAAGCGGCAAUUGUGCGUACAAGACUCCAGGCUGAUAUGGGGAUGCCAAGACGAAGGCCUCCAAGGCCGGAGGAUCCCCGGACACUGGGCCUCCUUCCAAGGGUCGAAUCUCCAUCAAUUGGCUGCAUUCUUGAGUCACAUGUCAGUAGGGGCAUAGGAGCAAGCUCUACACAACCAGAGUCAAGAGAUGAACACCUCUUAUAAGUGCUCUAAGUUAUGUACAUAACUUUUAAGUAAUGUAAAAUGUGUC